GAUGAACGCUGGCGGCGUGCCUAAUACAUGCAAGUCGAGCGAACAGACGAGGAGCUUGCUCCUUAGACGUUAGCGGCGGACGGGUGAGUAACACGUAGGUAACCUACCUAUAAGACUGGGGUAACUUCGGGAAACCGGAGCUAAUACCGGAUAAUAUUUCGAACCGCAUGGUUCGAUAGUGAAAGAUGGCUUUGCUAUCACUUAUAGAUGGACCUGCGCCGUAUUAGCUAGUUGGUAAGGUAACGGCUUACCAACGCAACGAUACGUAGCCGACCUGAGAGGGGGACCGUACACACUGGGACUGAGAGAUGGGCCAGACUCCGACGGGAGGCCGCAGUAGAGAAUCUCCCGAGAUGGGAGAAAGCCUGACGGAGCAACGCCGCGUAGGUGGUGAAGGUCUUCGGGUCGUAAAGCUCUGGUAUUACGGGACGAGAAACGCGUAAGCCACUGUGCACGUCUUGACGGUACCUGAGCAGAAAGCCACGGCUAACUCCGUG
rnacentral:rRNA from 1 species